rnacentral:rRNA from 1 species
UGGGGAAUAUUGCGCAAUGGGGGCAACCCUGACGCAGCCAUGCCGCGUGAAUGAAGAAGGCCUUCGGGUUGUAAAGUUCUUUCGGUAUUGAGGAAGGUUGAUGUGUUAAUAGUACAUCAAAUUGACGUUAAAUACAGAAGAAGCACCGGCUAACUCCGUGCCAGCAGCCGCGGUAAUACGGAGGGUGCGAGCGUUAAUCGGAAUAACUGGGCGUAAAGGGCACGCAGGCGAUUAUUUAAGUGAGGUGUGAAAGCCCCGGGCUUAACCUGGGAAUUGCAUUUCAGACUGGGUAACUAGAGUACUUUAGGGAGGGGUAGAAUUCCACGUGUAGCGGUGAAAUGCGUAGAGAUGUGGAGGAAUACCGAAGGCGAAGGCAGCCCCUUGGGAAUGUACUGACGCUCAUGUGCGAAAGCGUGGGGAGCAAACAGGAUUAGAUACCCUGGUAGUCCACGCUGUAAACGCUGUCGAUUUGGGGGUUGGGGUUUAACUCUGGCGCCCGUAGCUAACGUGAUAAAUCGACCGCCUGGGGAGUACGGCCGCAAGGUUA